rnacentral:rRNA from 1 species
UACGGAGGAUGCGAGCGUUAUCCGGAUUUAUUGGGUUUAAAGGGUGCGUAGGCGGCCUGUUAAGUCAGCGGUGAAAUCUAGGAGCUUAACUCCUAAAUUGCCAUUGAAACUGGCGGGCUUGAGUGUAGAUGAGGUAGGCGGAAUGCGUGGUGUAGCGGUGGAAUGCAUAGAUAUCACGCAGAACUCCAAUUGCGAAGGCAGCUUACUAAGGUACAACUGACGCUGAAGCACGAAAGCGUGGGUAUCAAACAGGAUUAGAUACCCGGGUAGUCC